CUACGGGGUGCACCAGGCGAGAAAACUUUGCAAUGUGCGAAAGCACGACAAGGUUAAUCCGAGUGGUUUGUGCUAAACGAACCUUUUGACAGUCCUAGAAACACUGUUGAAUAAGGGGUGGGCAAGUUCUGGUGUCAGCCGCCGCGGUAAAACCAGCACCUCAAGUGGUCAGGAUGAUUAUUGGGCCUAAAGCAUCCGUAGCCGGCUCUGUAAGUUUUCGGUUAAAUCUGUACGCUCAACGUACAGGCUGCCGGGAAUACUGCAGAGCUAGGGAGUGGGAGAGGUAGACGGUACUCGGUAGGAAGGGGUAAAAUCCUUUGAUCUAUUGAUGACCACCUGUGGCGAAGGCGGUCUACCAGAACACGUCCGACGGUGAGGGAUGAAAGCUGGGGGAGCAAACCGGAUUAGAUACCCUGGUAGUC
rnacentral:rRNA from 1 species